rnacentral:tRNA from 1 species
GCAUUAGUGGUUCUGUGGUAGAAUUCUCACCUUCCAUGUGGGAGACCUGGGUUCGGUUCCCAGCCAGUGUA